UACGGAGGGGGCUAGCGUUGUCCGAAGUUACUGGGCGUAAAGCGCGCGUAGGCGGGUUGGUAAGUCCGCUGUGAAAGCCCGGAGCUCAACUCCGGAGGGUCGGUGGAUACUGCCAGUCUUGAAGGUGCUAGGGGGAGAUGGAAUUACCGGUGUAGCGGUGAAAUGCGUAGAUAUCGGUAGGAACACCAGUGGCGAAGGCGGUCUCCUGGGGCAUUCUUGACGCUGAGGCGCGAAAGCUGGGGGAGCAAACGGG
rnacentral:rRNA from 1 species